ACUCAGAGAGGUGAAGUCACUCACUCAAAGUCACACAGCAGGUCAGAAGGAGAUAAGUUUCCUGCCUUCAGGACAGACACGCCCCUCGGGCUGGAAGACAGGAAAGGGGAGAGGAGCUAUCUCAGGACAGAAUCCCACACCCUGCCAGGGACCAGGCUUGCCCUUGGACUGCUCAGCAGAACGCAGAGGGUGCCCACUGCGGCCAGGUACUUCGGCCAGCAGCUGCCUUGUUAGGUAGACAUCUCCAUUUCAGUGGCUCCCUUGUUGAGAUGAAGAAACAGACUCAAGAAGGUGAGUAACUUGCCGAGAUCACACACUCAUAUACCUGGGCAGGGAGCCUGAGCCGCUACCCACGCCGCCCUCCUGCCUCCUCUGGGACAAAAGCUCCCAGACGGAGGCUCCGGGCCGUUGUUUUACAGCCCUGGCAGGGUGUGGGUGUGCAGCAGGACUCCCGUUAGCAAGCUCGUAGCUAGCAUUUAUUUGGCUCUUGCUAUGUGCAUUUCAGUCUUUCUAUCUCCAUUUUGCAGAAGAGAACAUAGGGGCCCAGGGAGGGGAGGAAACGCUCUCAGCAUUGGUUGCCUUGGUGUGCAGAGCUGUCCUCCUGGCUCUCUGCUCACUCAGCCACAGAGAACGAGAUAGGGAGUCAGAGGGGAGCGCCUUCCCCAGCUCUGCCACCUGCUGACAGCCUGGCCUCGGACACCUGUCUGCUUUCUGGAAGCCUCUGCUUUCUAACGGGGAAUGUAGCAGUACCUACCUCUUGGGCUUAUUGUGAGGACUUUAAAACACUUCACCACUGUAGAGCCCUGCGCCACCAACCAUUGCUGCUCCCACUGCACUCCCACCCAAUCAGCCUCAGCCACCCCUCUAGGGAAGACCAAUGUGAAUGAUCUCCAGCAGAGAAAAGAGGGUGAGGAGGUGAGAGCCCUGCUUAGCUCCAGACGACUUCCAUCACUGUAGGAGAACUGAGACUGUUUACCUGGAGAAAAAAAGUUGGGAUGGGGAGCAGAGGGGGAUGACCACUGCAUUCAGAGAUCCGAAGGGCUCCCGAUCUUGUGUGAUGGCGCCCAGACUGCGUGGUUCCAGUGGGUAGAAGGCCUGGAGCAGGCUCUCAGCUCUUCAGGAGGAAGAAAUUUCCCACAGUUAGAGCUGUUCAACAAGGGCCAUGGGCUACAGAGAGAGAGAGAGUAAGCUUCCCGUCUCGGGGGGUAUGCAAACAGAGGCAGGAUGGGAUGAAGGCGACUCAAGCUGACCUGGACAGAGAUCACGUAAUGGGUGAAUUUGACUCAGGCCAGCUUUAGUGUCGAGCUGGGGAAUGCCAGUCACUCCCAAUCUGGAAGUAUAAAAUAUUUGAAAUAUUCAAGAAGGUACAAAAAGUGAUUCAGUGAUCAUCCCUGAAUCCACCGCUGUCAGCUCAAGAACUAAAACCUCACCCGUGCAGCCCAGCUCCUGACCACAGGCCCCUUCCCCCUCCCCUCGCUGGUCUUUAAGCUUUUACUACACACGCACGGUCCACGCACUUCAGAGGUCUUUUUAAAAUAGGGGGCUCAGAAUUGCCAUACUUUCAGGCCCUAUGGAUUUUUUGUUAUUACCGGUAGUGAAAAUAAAAGUGCUUAGCUACUAAUAAAACAUGUAUUUUCUUUCUUUUUUUUAAUACUAGAAAAGUAUGACAAGAGCAGUCUCCAAACAGUUUUCCAUCUUGUCUAUAUGAAAGCGAUUCCAUCACCUCCCUCCCCACCUGGACACCCGGCCUGUUCCCAGCUGCUGGACCCAGAUAAUCACAAUUCCAGGGUUCGGGACUGAGACUGAGAUAAGGCAUAUCAAACACUUUGCACAUUCCCUGGCAUAUAGUAAGUGCUAAUUUUAGCACUAGUUGUCAUUAUCAAUGUCAUUGCCAUCUGGGGAAUUGCUCCCCCGCCCCCUAGUCCUGGUUGUCAUGAAAUCCUGGUGCUUUUACCCUUUGCUCCUCCCCUGGCCACAGCCUCUGGAACUCCUCUUCUUGUCUUGGGUCUCAACCCCUCAUCCACCUUCCUCACAGUGGCC